rnacentral:rRNA from 1 species
AUGUCACUAUACCACGCCGCGCCGACCAUGGAGACUGCUCCUCCGCCGGCCGGAAGCGGAAUCACGGCGACGGAGCAGCAGAAAGAGGACCUCGAGUUCCUGUGGAAGUGGCGCAAGUACCUGCUGCUGCUCGCCACGCUGGUCGCCAGCGUCACCUACGCGGCCGGGCUCAACCCGCCGGGCGGCGUCAGGUCCGACGAGGCCCCGCCGCUGCCGGCGGCCUACCCGGACCGCGUCGGCGACCCGGUGCUCCUCACCACCAACGAGCGCCGGUACACCGCCUUCUUCUACUGCAACGCGGCCGCCUUCAUCGCGUCCCUGGUCGUCAUCAUGUUCCUUCUCGACCGACGCAUCAGCGACAACAGCGUAGGCCUCACCGUGCUCCGCUCCGCCAUGCUGCUCGACCUGCUCGCCCUCAUGGCUGCCUUCGCCGCCGGGAGCUGCCGCGACGUGGCCGCGUCCGCCUACGUCUCGGCGCUCUUCGCGCUCGUCUUCGCUUGCGUCACCGUCCACGUCCACGUGCACAAAGCCCGGGAAAAGCAGGCGGCCGCCACACCCCCCGCAGAGAAAGCCCGGGGAGAACCGGCGGCCGCCACAUCCCCCUCGGACAAAGCCCGGGGAGAGCCGGCGGCCGCCGCCACAUCCCGCGCGGACAAGUUCCUGCUGCUGCUCGCCACGUUCGCGACGCCGCUGACGUACGGCGCGGGGCUGGCGCCGCCGGGAGGCUUCUGGAGCCAGACCGAGGCAGGGCACCUCGCCGGCGCCCCGCUGCUGCACGACGGGCCAUACAAGAUCCGCUACAACGUCUUCUUCUACGCCAACGCCAACUCCUUCGUGGCGUCCCUCGCCAUCAUCAUGCUGCUCAUGAGCCGGACGCUGAUGAGCGGCAGCCUCGCCCGGUCGCACGCGCUGCCGGUGUGCGUCCUGGUGGAGCUGCUCGGCCUGAUGGCCGCCUUCGCCGCCGGGAGCUGCAGGAGGAUCGACACCACCGUGUACGUCGUCUGCCUCGCCGGCGUGGUGCUCCUCAACAUUGUGGUACAGGCGAAGGCCAUGUACACGUUCGCGCAAUGGCGUGCAUACGUGCGCCGCGUGCUCACGUGCACCAACUUGGAGCCAGAACAAGAGCCAGACACGCCGCCGGGUAAUUCUCGAGGUGACUCCGGUGAGGUCCGUGUGGACAGGACAAGCACCAUCCAAAAUUGGCAGGUAGACGACAAGGUGGAGGAGUCACGGUCACUUCUGCUGCUGCUGGCCACCCUCGCGGCGACGGUGACCUACCAGGCGGGGCUGAGCCCGCCGGGCGGCGUGUGGCCGGACAACCACGACCCAGGGCAUCCAGACCACAUCCCCGGGAACCCGAUCCUCCUCGACAUGCACCCCAAGAGGUACAAGGUGUUCUACUACUGCAACACGGCGGCGUUCGUGGCGUCGGUGGUCAUCAUCAUCAUCGUCCAGAGCAAGGAGCUGAGCUCGCCCGCCACCAUCAGACGCGCUGCGCUCAAGACGGCCAUGAUACUGAACCUGUUUGGCCUCAUGGGUGCCUACGUCGCCGGGAGCUUCCGGGACGGCCCCACCACCAUCUAUGUCUUUUCCCUGGCCGUCGCCGUCUUCGUCUACUGCAUAGCCAAGGUCGUGGUGUUCAAUGCUCAUGGUCAGAGCAGGCUCGGCAAGUGGGUGCACGACAAGUUCAACAGGCUUGCACAACUGGUGUGUCUCUCUGCCAGCCAACCCGGGUCCGAGCCCGAGGGCAGUGAAGAAGAUCGCAAAAAGCUCGAGAGGAGGCGCAAGUUCUUGCUGCAGCUUGCCAUCCUCGCCGCCACCGUAACUUACCAGAUCGGUCUCAACCCGCCAGGAGGGUUUUGGCCGGAGAGCAAAGGCGAGGGAUCGCUUAUCGCCGGCGACCCUGUCCUCCUUGACCACUACUCGAUCAGGUACCAGGUGUUCUUCUAUUGCAAUGCGACGGGAUUCAUGGCGUCCAUCACCGUCAUCCUCCUGUUGGUGAACCAGAAGCUGUACAAGCAGGGCAUCCGGAGCAAUGCGCUCCGCGUCUGCGUCAUGGUCGGGCUUCUAGGUCUCAUGGGAGCUUACGCAGCCGGCAGCUGCCGACAACUGCGGACCUCCAUCUAUGUCUUUGCGCUCGUGGCCGCGGUGGUCGCCUUCCUCGUCCUGCAGACCCUACUUUUCGUGUCGGCGGGGAGAGUCAAUUGUUCAAAGUUGCCAUGGCUUCCCAAGCGGCUGUUCGAGCCCCUAGGAUCAUCGCCGUCGUGGUUGUCCAUCCGAAACAAAGGUGAUGACGAACAGUAUGCGAAACGGAAGUACCUGAUGCUGCUCGGCAUCCUUGGAGCGAGCGUGACGUACCAGGCGGGUCUCGCGCCCCCUGGCGGCACGUGGGGCGACGAUGAUACCGCGUCGUCCCCAUCACCAUCGCCGUCCCCAUCACCCAACAUCGCCGGCAACCCGAUCCUACUUCACUCCAGCCCGGCACGGUACCAAGCCUUCUUCUACUGCAACGCGACGUCGUUCAUGGCCUCCAUCGUCGUCAUCAUGCUGCUGCUGCAGUACACCGUGAAGAAGCAAUACACCGUGAAGAAAAGCGCCGCGCCAUUGUGGGCGCUGCAGGCCGCUGUGGUGUUGGACCUGUUCGGCCUGCUAGGAGCCUACGCUGCCGGCAGCUGCAGGGACUGGGAGACGUCCGCAUGCGUCAUCGCGCUCGUCGGUGCCGUUGUCGUCUUCAUCACGAUCUACGCACUGCUGUCGUUCGACGCCGUGCGAGGGAGGGUGAAGGCAAUCACGGUGUGCAAGUACUUUUCUAAGAUGAUGGAAAAACAGGUGUGGGAGCCCUUGGGAGUUAGCAAUGGUGAUGAUGAUCAGUCAGUCGUAAUCGGUAGCAGCGUGUAA